rnacentral:lncRNA from 1 species
UUUCUUACAUUGGCAGAAACAUGCACAAAGAGAUAAUGCCAGUGGGUUACAAUUUGAGAUAGCCUUAUCAGACAUUCCAGAAAUUUGAAACAAUGAUACUGUAAAACAGACUCAGUACUUAUACAAAAUGGUCUUGAGUUAUGCUGGCUUGACAUGUGAUAUUCUGAGUGUAGUCUAGUGUAAAAUUGACACAUAUUCGGAAGAAACCAUUUGUGAAAUUCUGAUCUUUUCCAGGAGUUUUGUGCUGUGUGUAACUCUCCUGCAAGGUGAGGCAGGAACUGUGCUCCAGUUCCUGGUCUGUUAUAGGGUCACGAGAUCCUGGCUGUGUGCAGGGCAUGUAUCUUCAAGUACAGCUAAGGUAUACCUACAUUGUGUGGCUAAGAGCUUCUGCACAUAUUAUUUUCUCCAUUUUACAAUCUCCCCCCUAUCAAUUUGCGUUGUUAAUGCAGUUUGUUGCUGACCACUUUUCAAAGAGUACAAGUGUUAAAACAGAGGACCAGAAGCGCUCAAGCUGUAGUAGUAGAGUUAAGUAAGGUCCACAGAGAACUCACCCUGUCAGGAGGAUAUUUUCCAAACAAAUGAAACUAUUAGUCUGAAAACAGUUAAGUUGUACCACUAUCACAUCCUUCUAAGGAUGGUUUAAGAAACAAACAAAACACCAAGGAAGGAUGUUUUAGGACAGAACAAACUUAUGAUGCAUUGCAUUAAAACUUUUGCAGAGGUGAAGAUCGAGGGCCUGACUCUUUAUAAUUUCUAUCAAAUACUUUAUUGGACAUUGGAAACAAACUUUUGUACGCUGGCCUAAUGUGUGCCAAUUUUCUGUUUCAGCACCUUCUGAAGCCAGUGUUUAUUUGCAACCAAAGUAUGCACUGGAAUGACAUUUAAAAUACAAAGGAAACAACAAGGAAAAUGACAAUGAUUGAAAAUAAGGCUGGGGAUGGCUUAUCUUGUAAAAAGAAAUCAGGAUCUUAAAGGAGUAGACUUCCUUCUGCCAGGCUACAGUGGGCUGUGUGACACCUAAAAGUGUCAGCUUCUGCCUGCUUGAGUAAUUUGUUUAAAUUUAGAAACAUAUAUUGUAGUUUUAGUGGGGAAGAAAGAGACAGCCACAUGGAAGAGUAGAUUCAUUUUGCAGGAUAUAUAUACAUUUGUGCAUUCAAACAUUAGCAGCCAAUUACGAGAUUCAGCCCUCUACACUGCUGGAGCCUACGGCUUCCUGGCCUGCAGUUCACAGAAAGGAUGUGGUUUUCUUGGGACCUAGUGUUGACAGAUGCUGAAAUACAUGCUCUACCGCUCUUUUCUUCUAUGUCUUCUCUCCUUUUCUUUUUUUUUUCCUUUCUUUUAUUCUAUUCUGGGGUAUUGGAUUACCUCUGCGUAUUGCCUGGCCUCAAAAUCUUAGUCCUCCUGUUGCAGUCUCUGGAUAUUAGAAUUAUAGGCAGAUACUACCAUUCUUGUUAUUGAAGUAGAGCCAAUUGGUCUUGUCCUUUAAAGUUGGAGCCUUCAUGGUGCUGGGAGAUAGUGGGAAAAAUGUUGUUACCUUCAUGUGGACUCAGAAUCAUAGCUUUGUUUCCAGAACCCACUCAGACUUUAUGUGAAAGUAGCUCUGGCAGCCGUCCAGAGAGUCAGCCCUUCUUUUUCCUGUCUGCCAAGGCUGCUUGAAAGCCCUGCAGCAGAUUCACUGAGCUGGCAAAUCUUCCAGAAACUCUAUAAUCCUUCAGAGUGACUUUAUUUUUAUUUUUAUCAGUUUGCUUUGUUAGAGGGGAUUUAUCACUUACAGAAGAACCAGGAAUUUUGGAUCUAUGCAGGAAAGACCUUUUUCAGACCUCUUCUCAUCUGGAAUAUGAAAUCAGGAAAGUGGGCUGCAAUGGGGGAUGUAACUCAGCCUGGCAUGGACAAAAUAAAGGAAUUGAGUCCAAGCUUUGCGUAAAACAGGCAUGAUGACAACAUGCCUGUAGCCACAGCACUUAGGAGGCAGGGAGCAGGAAAAUCGAGGGAGUUCAACAUUCUCCAUAAUUAUGUAGAAGCUUGAGGCCAGUUUAGGUUACAUGUGGUGAGUCUUUGGAUGGGCCAGAAUUGUUAUACUGGUCAAACUACAUGUGCAUCUAAGAUUUUGAUUAGAUUUUAAUUUUUUUCCUGUUUUUAUUUUACCCCAAGGGUUACUUUCAUGAUAGACUUUUGAAACAAUCAAUUUGUUUUUUGUUCACAGCAUCAUAUAAUAUUAUACUCUUCUCACAUGUAUAGGUGAAAAUUGUGCUAUUUUAGUGUGUAAGAAAAAUCAUCUCUCCUUUUGUAACACUUUCCUUCCCUCCCCUGGGUUUUUAUGUAAAUGUACAGUCCAUUUUUUUCUUACAUUUAUAAGGAAGAAGUUAACUGUCUAAAGAACAAUUGGAGUUUAUUUUUCAAUGUUAUAAACAACUUUAAUUUGACAAUUAAAUUGCUUUUGAACCUUGUCAAAUAAAAACAAACAAGCGUUGAAUGUGU